rnacentral:rRNA from 1 species
AUGAACGCUGGCGGCGUGCUUAACACAUGCAAGUCGAGCGAAGCACUUACCAUUGACUCUUCGGAAGAUUUGGUAAAUGACUGAGCGGCGGACGGGUGAGUAACGCGUGGGUAACCUGCCUCAUACAGGGGAAUAACAGUUAGAAAUGGCUGCUAAUGCCGCAUAAGCGCACAGUACCGCAUGGUACGGUGUGAAAAACUGAGGUGGUAUGAGAUGGACCCGCGUCUGAUUAGGUAGUUGGUGGGGUAACGGCCUACCAAGCCGACGAUCAGUAGCCGGCCUGAGAGGGUGAACGGCCACAUUGGGACUGAGACACGGCCCAGACUCCUACGGGAGGCAGCAGUGGGGAAUAUUGCACAAUGGGGGAAACCCUGAUGCAGCGACGCCGCGUGAAGGAAGAAGUAUCUCGGUAUGUA